rnacentral:rRNA from 1 species
CACGUAGGGCGCGAGCGUUGUCCGGAAUUAUUGGGCGUAAAGAGCUCGUAGGCGGCCUGUUGCGUCCGCUGUGAAAGCCCGGGGCUUAACCCCGGGUCGGCAGUGGAUACGGGCAGGCUAGAGGUAGGUAGGGGAGAAUGGAAUUCCCGGUGUAGCGGUGAAAUGCGCAGAUAUCGGGAAGAACACCCGUGGCGAAGGCGGCUCUCUGGGACGGUACUGACGCUGAGACGCGAAAGCGUGGGGAGCAAACAGGG